rnacentral:rRNA from 1 species
AAACUCAAAGGAAUUGACGGGGGCCCGCACAAGCGGUGGAGCAUGUGGUUUAAUUCGACGCAACGCGCAGAACCUUACCAACCCUUGACAUCCCGGUCGCGAUUUCCAGAGAUGGAUCCUUCAGUUCGGCUGGACCGGAGACAGGUGUUGCAUGGCUGUCGUCAGCUCGUGUCGUGAGAUGUUGGGUUAAGUCCCGCAACGAGCGCAACCCUCGCCUUUAGUUGCCAUCAUUUAGUUGGGCACUCUAGAGGGACUGCCGGUGAUAAGCCGGAGGAAGGUGGGGAUGACGUCAAGUCCUCAUGGCCCUUACGGGUUGGGCUACACACGUGCUACAAUGGCGGCGACAAUGGGCAGCGAAGGGGCGACCCGGUGCAAAUCCCAAAAAGCCGUCUCAGUUCGGAUUGUACUCUGCAACUCGAGUGCAUGAAGGUGGAAUCGCUAGUAAUCGCGUAACAGCAUGACGCGGUGAAUACGUUCCCGGGCCUUGUACACACCGCCCGUCACACCAUGGGAGUUGGUUUUACCCGAAGCUGGUGCGCUAACCGCAAGGAGGCAGCCAACCACGGUAAGGUCAGCGACUGGGGUGAAGUCGUAACAAGGUAGCCCUAGGGGAACCUGGGGCUGGAUCACCUCCUUUAUG